rnacentral:rRNA from 1 species
UACGAAGGGAGCGAGCGUUGUUCGGAAUCACUGGGCUUAAAGCGUGCGUAGGUGGAUUGGUAAGUAAGGAGUGAAAUCCCAGGGCUUAACCCUGGAACUGCUCUUUAGACUGCCUGUCUGGAAUUCGGAAGAGGUUGGUGGAACUCCCAGUGUAGAGGUGAAAUUCGCAGAUAUUGGGGAAGAACACCGGUGGCGAAGGCGACCAACUGGUCCGACAUUGACACUGAGGCACGAAAGCGUGGGUAGCAAACAGG